rnacentral:rRNA from 1 species
UACGGAGGGUGCAAGCGUUAACCGGAAUUAUUGGGCGUAAAGCGCACGCAGGCGGUCUGUCAAGUCUGAUGUGAAAUCCCCGGGCUCAACCCGGGAACUGCAUUCGAAACUGGCCGACUAGAGUCUUGUAGAGGGGGGUAGAAUUCCAGGUGUAGCGGUGAAAUGCGUAGAGAUCUGGAAGAAUACCGGUGGCGAAGGCGGCCGCCUGGACAAAGACUGACGCUCAGGUGCGAAAGCGUGGGGAGCAAACAGG